UGAUUAAAGAUUUGUAUACAACAAUGAG
rnacentral:sRNA from 1 species